rnacentral:rRNA from 1 species
AGAGUUUGAUCAUGGCUCAGAUUGAACACUGGCGGCAGGCCUAACACAUGCAAGUCGAACGGUAACAGGAAGCAGCUUGCUGCUUCGCUGACGAGUGGCGGACGGGUGAGUAAUGUCUGGGAAACUGCCUGAUGGAGGGGGAUAACUACUGGAAACGGUGGCUAAUACCGCAUAACGUCGCAAGACCAAAGAGGGGGACCUUCGGGCCUCUUGCCAUCAGAUGUGCCCAGAUGGGAUUAGCUAGUUGGUGAGGUAACGGCUCACCAAGGCGACGAUCCCUAGCUGGUCUGAGAGGAUGACCAGCCACACUGGAACUGAGACACGGUCCAGACUCCUACGGGAGGCAGCAGUGGGGAAUAUUGCACAAUGGGCGCAAGCCUGAUGCAGCCAUGCCGCGUGUAUGAAGAAGGCCUUCGGGUUGUAAAGUACUUUCAGCGGGGAGGAAGGUGUUGUGGUUAAUAACCACAGCAAUUGACGUUACCCGCAGAAGAAGCACCGGCUAACUCCGUGCCAGCAGCCGCGGUAAUACGGAGGGUGCAAGCGUUAAUCGGAAUUACUGGGCGUAAAGCGCACGCAGGCGGUCUGUCAAGUCGGAUGUGAAAUCCCCGGGCUCAACCUGGGAACUGCAUUCGAAACUGGCAGGCUUGAGUCUUGUAGAGGGGGGUAGAAUUCCAGGUGUAGCGGUGAAAUGCGUAGAGAUCUGGAGGAAUACCGGUGGCGAAGGCGGCCCCCUGGACAAAGACUGACGCUCAGGUGCGAAAGCGUGGGGAGCAAACAGGAUUAGAUACCCUGGUAGUCCACGCCGUAAACGAUGUCUACUUGGAGGUUGUGCCCUUGAGGCGUGGCUUCCGGAGCUAACGCGUUAAGUAGACCGCCUGGGGAGUACGGCCGCAAGGUUAAAACUCAAAUGAAUUGACGGGGGCCCGCACAAGCGGUGGAGCAUGUGGUUUAAUUCGAUGCAACGCGAAGAACCUUACCUGGUCUUGACAUCCACAGAACUUUCCAGAGAUGGAUUGGUGCCUUCGGGAACUGUGAGACAGGUGCUGCAUGGCUGUCGUCAGCUCGUGUUGUGAAAUGUUGGGUUAAGUCCCGCAACGAGCGCAACCCUUAUCCUUUGUUGCCAGCGGUCCGGCCGGGAACUCAAAGGAGACUGCCAGUGAUAAACUGGAGGAAGGUGGGGAUGACGUCAAGUCAUCAUGGCCCUUACGACCAGGGCUACACACGUGCUACAAUGGCGCAUACAAAGAGAAGCGACCUCGCGAGAGCAAGCGGACCUCAUAAAGUGCGUCGUAGUCCGGAUUGGAGUCUGCAACUCGACUCCAUGAAGUCGGAAUCGCUAGUAAUCGUGGAUCAGAAUGCCACGGUGAAUACGUUCCCGGGCCUUGUACACACCGCCCGUCACACCAUGGGAGUGGGUUGCAAAAGAAGUAGGUAGCUUAACCUUCGGGAGGGCGCUUACCACUUUGUGAUUCAUGACUGGGGUGAAGUCGUAACAAGGUAACCGUAGGGGAACCUGCGGUUG